UACGAAGGGGGGCUAGCGUUGCUCGGAAUCACUGGGCGUAAAGCGCACGUAGGCGGCUUCUUAAGUCAGGGGGUGAAAUCCUGGAGCUCAACUCCAGAACUGCCUUUGAUACUGAGGAGCUCGAGUCCGGGAGAGGUGAGUGGAACUCCGAGUGUAGAGGUGAAAUUCGUAGAUAUUCGCAAGAACACCAGUGGCGAAGGCGGCUCACUGGCCCGAUACUGACGCUGAGGCACGAAAGCGUGGGGAGCAAACAGG
rnacentral:rRNA from 1 species